rnacentral:rRNA from 1 species
AUACGGAGGGUGCGAGCGUUAAUCGGAAUUACUGGGCGUAAAGCGUACGUAGGCGGUUUGCUAAGUCAGAUGUGAAAGCCCCGGGCUUAACCUGGGAACUGCAUUUGAUACUGGCAGACUAGAGUAUGAUAGAGGGGGGUGGAAUUCCUGGUGUAGCGGUGAAAUGCGUAGAUAUCAGGAGGAAUACCAGUGGCGAAGGCGGCCCCCUGGAUCAAUACUGACGCUGAGGUACGAAAGCGUGGGGAGCGAACAGGAUUAGAAACCCUAGUAGUCC